GACGAACGCUGGCGGCGUGCCUAAUACAUGCAAGUCGAACGAGAGCACCCGGUGCUUGCACUGGUCAAUCUAGUGGCGAACGGGUGAGUAACACGUGGGUAACCUGCCCAUCAGAGGGGGAUAACAUCCGGAAACGGGUGCUAAAACCGCAUAGGUCUUCGAACCGCAUGGUUUGAAGAGGAAAAGAGGCGAAAGCUUUUGCUGAUGGAUGGACCCGCGGUGCAUUAGCUAGUUGGUGAGGUAACGGCUCACCAAGGCCGUGAUGCAUAGCCGACCUGAGAGGGUGAUCGGCCACAUUGGGACUGAGACACGGCCCAAACUCCUACGGGAGGCAGCAGUAGGGAAUCUUCCGCAAUGGACGCAAGUCUGACGGAGCAACGCCGCGUGAGUGAAGAAGGUUUUCGGAUCGUAAAACUCUGUUGUUAGAGAAGAACAAGUGCUAGAGUAACUGUUAGCGCCUUGACGGUAUCUAACCAGAAAGCCACGGCUAACUACGUG
rnacentral:rRNA from 1 species